rnacentral:rRNA from 1 species
UACGAAGGGGGCUAGCGUUGCUCGGAAUUACUGGGCGUAAAGCGCACGUAGGCGGCUCUUUAAGUCGGGGGUGAAAUCCUGGAGCUCAACUCCAGAACUGCCUUCGAUACUGAAGAGCUCGAGUCCGGGAGAGGUGAGUGGAACUGCGAGUGUAGAGGUGAAAUUCGUAGAUAUCUGGAGGAACACCGGUGGCGAAGGCGGCGUCCUGGACCAACACUGACACUGAUGAGCGAAAGCCAGGGGAGCAAACGGG